rnacentral:tRNA from 1 species
UCUCUGUUAGUAUAUCGGUUAGUACACGCGCUUGUCACCUCCGUCAUUAGCUGACCGCGCGAAAGCGGGGUUCGACUCCCCGACAGAGAG